rnacentral:rRNA from 1 species
GGAAACCUAGUAGAGCGGCGAACGGGUGAGUAACAGGUGGGUAAUGUGCCCUCGGGUGGGGGAUAACUCCGGGAAACCGGAGCUAAUACCGCAUACGUUUGCGAUGGCCAUGGCCUUGGCAAAGAAAGGUGCGCGUCUUACGGAGUGUGUCGCCCGAGGAUCGGCCCGCCCCCCAUUAGCUUGUUGGUAGGGUCACGGCCUACCAAAGCCACGAUGGGUAGCUGGUCUGAGAGGAUGGUCAGCCACACUGGGACUGAGAUACGGCCCAGACUCCUACGGGAGGCAGCAGUCUAGAAGCUUCGGCAAUGCCCGAAAGGGUGACCGAGCGACGCCGCGUGUGGGAUGAAGGCUUUCGGGUUGUAAACCACUGUCAGUGGGGACGAAUGCCCGGAUGGUGAAUCCGGGAGUGACGGUACCCGCAGAGGAAGCCCCGGCUAACUCCGUGCCAGCAGCCGCGGUAAUACGGAGGGGGCAAGCGUUGUUCGGAAUUACUGGGCGUAAAGGGCGCGUAGGCGGGAUGGUCCGUCCGCUGUGAAAGUGCUACCGCUCAACGGAGCAAUGUCAGCGGAAACAACCAUUCUUGAGUCCGGGAGAGGUGAGCGGAAUUGCUGGUGUAACGGUGGAAUGUAUAGAGAUCAGCAAGAACACCGGUGGCGAAGGCGGCUCACUGGCCCGGUUCUGACGCUGAGUGCGCGAAAGCGUGGGGAGCAAACGGGAUUAGAUACCCCGGUAGUCCACGCCCUAAACGGUGGGCACUAGGUGUGGGAGGUAUCGACCCCUUCCGUGCCGCAGCUAACGCAUUAAGUGCCCCGCCUGGGGAGUACGACCGCAAGGUUGAAACUCAAAGGAAUUGACGGGGGCCCGCACAAGCGGUGGAGCAUGUGGUUCAAUUCGAUGCAACGCGAAGAACCUUACCGGGGCUUGAAGUGGAGGGUAAACCCGCCGAAAGGCGGGCUGCUUCGGCGACCCUCUAGAGGUGUUGCAUGGCUGUCGUCAGCUCGUGUCGUGAGAUGUUGGGUUAAGUCCCGCAACGAGCGCAACCCCUAUCCUUAGUUACCAGCACAUCAUGGUGGGGACUCUAAGGAGACCGCCUGCGUAAGCAGGAGGAAGGUGGGGAUGACGUCAAGUCCUCAUGGCCCUUAUGUCCCGGGCUACACACGUGCUACAAUGGCCGGUACAAUGAGUCGCAAGACCGCGAGGUGGAGCCAAUCUCUAAAGCCGGCCUCAGUUCGGAUUGGAGUCUGCAACUCGACUCCAUGAAGCCGGAAUCGCUAGUAAUCGCGCAUCAGAACGGCGCGGUGAAUACGUUCCCGGGCCUUGUACACACCGCCCGUCACACCACGAAAGUCGGCUGUACCAGAAGUCGCUGGACCACCCGCCCUCGGGUGGAGGAAGGUGCCGAAGGUAUGGCCGGUGAUUGGGGUGAAGUCGUAACAAGGUAACC